GCUUACGGCCAUACCAGCCUGAAUACGCCCGAUCUCGUCCGAUCUCGAAGCUAAGCAGGGGUCGGCCUGGUUAGUACUUGGAUGGAGACCGCCUGGGAAUACCAGUGCUGUAAGCU
rnacentral:rRNA from 1 species